rnacentral:rRNA from 1 species
UAAUACGGGAGGUGCGAGCGUUAAUCGGAAUUACUGGGCGUAAAGCGAGCGUAGGCUGUUAAUUAAGUCGAAUGUGAAAUCCCCGGGCUCAACCUGGGAACUGCAUUCGAAACUAUUUAACUAGAGUAUGGGAGAGGAAAGUAGAAUUUCCGGUGUAGCGGUGAAAUGCGUAGAUAUCGGAAGGAAUACCAGUGGCGAAGGCGGCUUUCUGGAACAAUACUGACGCUGAGGUUCGAAAGCGUGGGGAGCAAACAGGAUUAGAUACCCUGGUAGUCCACGCCGUAAACGAUGAGAACUAGAUGUUGGGAGGAUUGGCCUCUCAGUGUCGCAGCUAACGCAAUAAGCUCUCCGCCUGGGGAGUACGACCGCAAGGUUG